GAGAAGAUUCUGAAAGUGCUAGAAUGAUUAAAAGUCAACAUCCAGACCCUUAGCUCCCACACGCAAUCCAUUGCUAAGCUAGAGACCCAAAUAGGUCAACUAGCAACCGUAUUCAAUAGGAGGGAAGAAGAAAAAUUAUCAAGCCAAGCUGAGAGCAAUCCAAGAGGGCAAUUUAUGGUUGAGAGCUCCAAUACUCCAGAAACUUUUUCUGAACAUGCCAAAUCAAUCAUAACUCUCAAAAGUGGGAU
rnacentral:lncRNA from 1 species